GGAGAGGUGGCCGAGUCGGUCGAAGGCGCUCGCCUGCUAAGCGAGUGAACGGGGUCAACCCGUUCCGAGGGUUCGAAUCCCUCCCUCUCCG
rnacentral:tRNA from 1 species